rnacentral:rRNA from 1 species
AAAUGAAUAGACGGGGGCCCGCACAAGCAGCGGAGCGUGUGGUUUAAUUCGAUGUUACACGAAGAACCUUACCAGGGUUUGACAUGUAGGUGGUAGUGAAGCGAAAGCGGAACGACUCUUCGGAGAGCCUGCACAGGUGCUGCAUGGCUGUCGUCAGCUCGUGUCGUGAGAUGUUCGGUUAAGUCCGCUAACGAGCGCAACCCCUGCUGUGUGUUACAAGUGUCACACGGGACUGCCGGUCUUAAGCCGGAGGAAGGUGGGGAUGACGUCAAGUCAGCAUGGCCUUUAUAUCCUGGGCUACACACACGCUACAAUGGGUGGUACAGCAGGUUGCGAAACCGCGAGGUGGAGCCAAUCCUCAAAGCCAUCCUCAGUUCAGAUUGCAGGCUGCAACUCGCCUGCAUGAAGAUGGAGUUGCUAGUAACCGCAGGUCAGCUAUACUGCGGUGAAUACGUUCCCGGGCCUUGUACACACCGCCCGU